GCUAAACUCUAAGUAAUGCUUACGUUUGCUCACAGUCUAUAAAGAACCUGAUAUCAAAUCUUACACAUUAUUUCCCAAAAGGAGAAAUCUGAUCCCAUGGGAGGUUAAAACAGGACACCUCAGAAGCCUUUGAUAUGAGGGCAUAUCCUGAAAUUGGGAUACCACAAGGUCAGCGGGUGAUAAAGAAAUUGGGUGUGUUCAAUAUGCAGAACUUUCUGAUGCAACACUCUGUAACGCUGCAUCUUUUGAAGGAUGGGUGGCUUCCUCAGCCUGAAUUAUAUGACGUGAAUAGAAACAGCAGGAUGAAAGCA